ACCCAGUCGAUGAGUCCCAAAAAGGACGAAAUGUGCGUCCUGGAU
rnacentral:hammerhead_ribozyme from 1 species